UAGGAAGCCACACCCCCUUCUCCGCCGGCAGGGGCGCAGCCAUUUUAAUUCAUAUCUGAGUGGGCGGUGGCGAUUCGUGUUGGCGGUCUGACUCCGCUGGGCAGGGGCUUACUUUGCUGGUUUGGGGGUUGUUUUUAGUUUAAUUUUUCUUUUCUAGCUUCCCAUCGUCCGCCAGUGCGCACGCUGUAAUCAUCUGAGGCCAUGUCAGGAGACGGAGCCACGGAGCAGGUGAGGAAGGAGAUUGCGGGGCCUCGUGGCGACCUCUUCUCACCACGAGUCUGUUAGUCCGAGUACUCCAGCCAUGUUCGUAGUUAGUGAACCCGAGGGACCCCGUAGUGAAGAGUGGUGGGAAAGGGGAACAUGAUCUAGAUUUAAAUAUAUAUUUUUUGAUUUUCUGUCUUAAGCGUUAAAACGAAUAAAUGUUGAACUUAGACAAUAGCUGGGAGGCUGCUUCGUCUUAGAUUCAUGGGAAUGCUCCGGUUGGGAUGUUUUUUAUUUGGUAUCAUUUUGGUGUUUGCCUGAUGAGGAAUUGGUUAUGUUAAUAUGUAUCUGCUGUUUCAAAAACUUGACAGUGUUUCCUUCGCGUCCGCCCUCCUCCACAAUACACGCUACGCAGAAAUAGGUUACUAGCUUGAGAACAAAAAUUUUGAGAUGAAACUAAUCCGGAAAAAUCCUUGAAAGAGUGAGUGAUAGAAGAAGCAGCCUAGAAAUACAGCAUGGUUAUGCUGAGGUUUGGGGAGUUCUGUGGCUUUCCUCACUUUUCUCCCUUUUAGCCACAUUUCAUUUUCGUUUUUGCGGCUACACAGACGUUGCAGAAUUUGAUAAAUCUAAAACGGGAUAUCUUUUUUGUUAUUGUAAAUAAAAGCCUCUGUUUUAGUAGUAGUAGAUAUGAGUGACAUUUAGAUAUUUUAAAAUUUACCUUCUUAAUUAAGUGGCUUGCUCUUUAUGUUCUGAAUUUUGUAGACUUAGAUUUACCUUUUCGUGUGAAAAGGAAACUAAUUUUAUGAAAGAGGUCAUUAAAUGUGCUUUUCGAUGUAAGGUCUGGUAUGUUUAGAUAUUUAUUUUUUGAUAUUAGUCUUGGUGGAACAGAUAGUUUUUAAAAUGGAGGAUAGCUUACAAAGUCUUUUUCUUGCAAUUUUCCAUUGCCAUAGCAACAAAAUACACUUAGUUCUCAGUUUAUAACGUGGAAUAGGUCUGUUACUUAUUGUAUAGAUUGGGUAACUAUAAAUUUUCAUUUGUUGGGAAAGUUGGGCUUUUGCUUCAGGACUGUUUUCAAUAUGGAAAUCUUUACAGUAUUUACAUUGUAGUGAUAAUUAGGAUGUCCACGAAUGUAAAAUCUUUAAAUUAUAUCCAAAUUUUUAAGGCCUAGUGUGGUGGCAUGCGUCUUUAAUCCCAGCAACUGGGGAGACUGAGGUAGGAGGAUCUCAAGUUGAGGCCAGCCUCAACAAUUUAGUGGGACUGGCUCAAAAUAAAAAAGGAACGGGGAUGUGGCUCUGGAGUUAAGUAUCUUCCAUUCAAUCCCAGUACCGAAAAAAAAGUGUUUAUUUCAAGCAUCAUUUUGUAGACUGGUGUUUUGCAUCUGAAAGCGAAGGAGGUAGGGUAUUGAGAUAUCAUUGCAUGCUUUGAAAUUCAUUGGUUUUUGUUUUGGUUUUGGUUUUGGUUUUUAGUUUUUUCCGUACCUGGUGUUAAACCCAGGGACGCUUAAUCACUGAGCCACAUCCCCAGCCCUUUUUGUAUUUUAGUUAAGGAACAGGGUCUCACUGAGUUGCCUAGGGCCUUAGUUGCUGAGGCUGGCUUUGAAUUUGGCAAUCCUCUUGUCUCACCCUCCUCAGCUGCUGGGAUUAUAGGCUGCUGAGAUUAAAGGUGUGUGCCAGGAUUUGCUUGUUAAUUCUUAAAUUUGCCUAAAAUUGUUGAGAAGAAAUGUUGUCAUGACUUUGAAUAUUUUAGAACUUUUUUGUACUGGGUGUUGAACCCUGGUGUACUUUAUGCUUGAGCAACAUCCCAGUCCUUUUUAUUUUGAGGCAGUGUUGCUAAAUUGCUGAGGCUGGCCUUGAAUUUGUGAUCCUCCUUCAUCUGCCUCCUGAGUUACUGGGAUUACCAGGGUGUGUCAAUGUACCUGGAGAAGGACUGUGGGGUGUGUGUGUGUUUUAAAUAGUUAUAGAUUAACACAAUACCUUUUUAAAAAAUUUUAUGUGGUGCUGAGGCUUGAAUCCAGUGCCUUACACGUGCUGUACCACUGAGCCACAAUCCUAGCCCGAACUGUGAUGUUUUAAUAGGGGUAAAUGGUGAUGAAGAUUUAUACACAACCCCAAUUUUAUCAUGAAACGUUUAAAACACAGAACAGUUGAAAGAAAAGUGCCAUGAACACCUACAACACAAUUUGUCACCAAAAACCACCAAUCCCUCCUUGCCCCUUUGUUGUUACUAGGAAUUGAACCCAGGGGCACUUAACCACUGAGCCACAUCCCCAGCACUUUUUUAAUAUUUUAUUUAGAAACAGGGUCUCCCUGAAUUGCGUAGGACCUUGCUAAGUUGCUGAGGCCGGCUUUGAACUUGAUCCUCCUGAUUUAGCUUCCUGAGCCCCUGGGAUUACAGGCAUGUGCCACCAUGCCCAGCGCCCCCCCACCACCGGAAUUGAACCCAAGAGAACUUUACUCCUGGGCCAUAUCCCUAGCCCUUUGUGUUUUUUAUUUUUAAACAGGGGUCUCAACCAAGUUUUGGAGACUGGGCUCGAACUUGCAGUUCUUUCUCAACCUCAUGAGUUGCUGGGAUUACACACAUGCACCACCAUGCCUGGCAAAAAAAAAAAAUUUUUUUAAAUAAAUUCUGUUCUGUGUCAACUUACUGCUUUAUACUUUUAUGUAAAGAAGAGAUGCUUCUUUCUUCUUUUCUCCCAUUAUAUGUACUAGGAAUUGAACCCGGAGCUGUUUGCCACUGAGCUAUGUUCCCAAUCCUUUUAUUUUUAAAUUUUGAGACAGGGACUCAUUAUGUUGCUUAGGUCCCUCUAAGUUGCUCAGGCUGGUCUCUAAUCUGAGCCUCCUGGGAUUAUAGGUGUGCACCACCAUGCCUUGCAAAGAUUUUAUGUAAUCUUUUAAUGUAAAUAUUUUUUUCGCUUGCACAGUGGCCCAUGCCUGUAAUACUAGCUGCUCCAGAGGAUGAGGCAGGAGGAUCGAAAGUUCAAAGCCAGCCUCAGCAAAAGCAAGGCACUAAACAACUCAGUGAGACUCUGUCUCUAAAUAAAAUACAAAAUAGAGCAGAGGAUGUGGCUUAGUGGUUGAAUUUCCCUGAGUUCAAUCCCUGAAAAAAGUGUUUUUGUGAGUGUGAUGCUGGAAAUUGAAACUAGGGUCCUCAUGCCUCCUGCCCUCCCUACUGGGAAUUGAACUUGAGUGCUGUACUGCAUAUAUAGAACUACAUCCCCAGCUGUUCUUCAUUUUCAGACAGGGUCUGGCUAAGUGUGCCUAGGCUGGCCUGGAACUUGCUAUUCUCAUGCCUCAGCCUCCCAAGUAGCUCCCAAUUACAUACCUGGAGUGGCUGAUCUACCUACCUACCUUUCUUUCUUUCUUUCUCUUUCUAGUUGUAGAUGGACAGCAUGCCUUUAUUUUGUUUGUUUGUGUGUGUGUGUGUGUGUGUGUUUAAACGUGGUGCUGAGGAACGAACCAAGCUACAGCCCCAGCCCCUGGAGUGGCUCAUCUUCAUAUCAUACCUUCACUUGCUCUCUUGUCCAUUAAUAGAUUGAAGCAAAUACCAGAUAUUAUACAAUUCAGUUUUAAUUGAGAUAGUAAUUAAAUGAUUUGUAAAGAAAGAAGAAUGAACUGUACCUUGCUCUCUAUGUAAGACAGUGAUCAUUGAAAGUCAGUAGAAAGAGUGCCUAAAAUGACAUGAAUCAGAUCAUUAAAAAAAGACUAUAAACAAGAUUAAAGAAUAAUAAGAAUAAAACCAAAUUAUUUAGAAUCAUGGAUUUAUUUUGGAAAGAUUACAAGGGAUGGAUUGGGUGGAGAAAGAUCCCACAAGGUAACAGGUGUAGACUUCUUUUAGCCUUUCAGUUGGCAUGGAAGCUCUCAAGUUUGUAGAGUAGACCCGAUAAUACCUUAAUUUAUUACUAAAAAAUAUGAAGUUAGUCCUGUACUAUGGUGCCUUCCCCAUUAUCCAGGCUACUUGGAAGACUGAGGCUGGAGGAUAAGUUUGAGGCCAGCCUGGGCAACUUAGGGAGACCCUUGGAAAAAAAUGGGGGUAAGAUAUAGCUUGGUGAUAGAGUACCCUUGGGUUCUAGCCUUAGUACCUGUCCCCCAAAUAUUAUGAUUUUGUGAUUUGUGGCCUUUGAAAGACAGCAGUGAUUAUUGAGAAGCAAAAUUAUUGCUAAUGUUUAUUUUUUUAAAUUCUUGUGAAGGAAUUCAGUUUUGCUUUAGUGUUUAAGGAAAUUCUGGAGCUCCUUGUUUACUAUAUCCAGUCCUGUGCCCUUCCUCCCAUACUGUCACCACAACAGUUUACUUUUUUGCCAGUUUAAUGAUGAUAAAGCUCCUCCCUGCAACAUCUGAUUCUUUUUGGAAUUACAGCUAUAUUUUUAUUUUGUAUGUGUUUUUACUGCUUGGUACAAUUUGAUCUCAUUCUUCCUUCAUUUAACCUUGUGCACUACUCCAGCAGCAUAUAAUAGGCCGUUAUUUCCCCAUCUGUUCCAAGCUUCUUGAGUUGAAGGAACUGCCUUCUUUAGCUUUAUGUUAAAAACCUACAAAGUACUAUUUUUAAAAAAAAAAAAAACACAAUACCUUUGUUUUAUUUGCUUAUUUUUAUGUGGUGCUGAGGACAUAACCCAGCACCUUGCAUGUGCUAGGUGAGCAUGUUACCGCUGAGCCACAACCCCAGCCCUACAAAAUACUAUUUUGAGUCUUAUAUGAUUCAAUGAGUGGAUUGAUUUUUGCAUAUAGGAACUACUGGGAUGACAGGUGUAUAGCUAAUUUAUACAAAGUUUAGUAUUUGGGGCAUACAAGUGGAUUAUUUCAAAGAUAGCUUGGAUAAGAGGAAGAAAAGAACUUUUGUUUGGACAAGUCCAUUUAUCUGAACCUUUAAGCCUCUCAAAUUGUGUUUUCACACUCUUCAGGAAAGACUACUUUAACUAACCCUUUCUCCUGGUGCUGAUGCUUGAACCCAGGGCCUGGUACCUGCUAGGCAAGGGCUCUAUCACUUAGACACAUCCCCAAUCCUGUAUUUCACUUUUUAAAAAAUGUCUUUUCUAGCCAGAUAUAGUGGCCUUUGCCCAUAAUACCAGCAACCCAGGAAAAGUGUAAAUUGGAGGCCAGUCUCAACAACUUAGUGUUUUCCUAUUAGUGAAAAAUAUGUUUGGGAAGAUACAAAAAAAAAUAUGAAAAAUAUGUUCUGCAGUGUACUUAUUAACGAGGAAUGAAACCAGCAACCUUGUUUGUUUUGUUGAGUAACCAUUUGAAGUUAAGGAAAUAUAUGUGGGGUUAGGAAGAGGUAAAAGAGCCAUUGUGUGUGUUGCACAAUGUGUUCUUUGGGUUGAAUUAUCUUUUAAUCUGUCUAGUAAAAAUUUCUGUAAUAGCCUUUUCUUCUUUCCCUUCUUGUAUUUUAAUGAUUUUUACUUGAACAUAUUUCUGGUGUUUUUUUUUGUGUUGGAGUGGUGAUACUGGGAAUUGAACCUAGGGAUGCUUACCCAUAAGCCACAUGCCCGGCUCUUUUUAUUUUUAUUUUGAUAUAGGGUCUCAUGAAGUUGCUGAGGCUGGCUUUGAACUUGGAAUCCUCCUGUGUCUCUGAGAUUACAGGCAUGUGCCACUGUGCCUGGCUUACUCUAACAGUUUUGAGUGGGCAAAUUGACUUCAAUUUUAUUGUAUUUCUUUUACUCUUUGGAAAGGCUUUCUUAUUUAUUGUGGUGGUGGGAUCAAACCAUGUGCUCUAUCACUGAGCUAUAUCUCCAACUCCAGAUCUUUAUUCUUAAUAUUUCUUAGGGAAACCAGACAUUAGAAGAUAGUGUAUGUGGCAGUGAUUUUUAUCCUCAGUAUAGUUAAUCUGUGCUUAGUAUUGGUUUUUCUUAGAGUUACAACAGAAAGGAACUGUUAGGAGUGAUUGUGUUCUUCAACAUAGAUUGUAUCAGGGGACACAGGGAUUAUUAGAAGGGCAAAGUCUGUACUUGGCUGUUUGUACUCAUUAGUUGGGCAGUUGCCAAAAAAAGUCAUAGUUUUAAGCUUUUCUACCAUAUUUCUAAAUGUAUAUGUCUUUUGAAGAUCUAAUUGUGAAUUUUGAGUUAUUUUGUUUUGUUGGAUAGCUGGUAAUGGUGUGAAAACUGAUCUGAAAGGGAUUUGAAGUCUGAUGGUGUGGUACACCUGAAGUCCCAGCUACUUAGGAGGCUGAGCAGGAGAGAAGGAUCACAGGUUCGAGAAUAGCCUGGGCAACUUAGGGAGAAUGUGUCUCAAAAAAAGUGGUGGAACUAAUAUACAUUAAAUAUUGAAUAAAAUGAGAAGCACAAGACUAUGCCUUAAUUGAUGUUUUUCUAUUGUUUAACUUGGUUUAUUUUUAAGAUAAUGACUAUACACUGUUAUAAUCAUUAACAAAAUAUCUUGGCUACUCGAUUGAAAGAGCCUGGUCUUCCAAAUACCAAAAAGGUCAAGAUUUUUAUUUAUAUAUUUUGUUAUUUUGUGGUGCUGGAGAUAGAACACAGGGCCUUGUAUACCUCAUGCUAUAUCACCAAAUUAUAGCCUCAGCACUUAUAUGUAUAUUGUAGCCAUUUGUUUCCUAGGGGAUGAAUAAGCAAAUUUAAUAAGCUAUUCAAUAAGUGUAGUUUAUUUUAAAAGUUUUUUAAUUGUUUGCAUGUGUAGAAUUUUAGUCUUUGGAAGGAUUGAAGAGUUCAUAAUAAAGGAUAUAUGUUCAGUUUUGUUCCCCAAAACUCAAUAGUAGAGUUCAGUUGCAUUGAUAAAGGAACACAGAACUAAGCUGGCUUCUAGUCCUUACCACCAGUCAUAUAAAAUACUUUAUUCUCUGGGCAUGUGAGUUGGCUUAAUUAAGUUACUAUUCUUAGAGUCUUACAGAGUGCUACUCUGGUCUACUUCUAAUUUUGAAAAACAAAAAGUUAACUACAGAGACACUUAGGACUUUCAAAUAUAUAUUAUGUGCAGUUCUUAAUAUUGUAGCCAAAAUUUGUUAGAAUGACUUGAAUCUGGUGUCACUGUAUUUUUAAUGGUAUGUGACGUUUUGCAAACAUGUAUUACAGAACAGAUUAUAUAAUAGUCAUUCUGGUUAAUGAUGGCUGUUUCCUAAUUUUGUCAUGUGGAUAUCAUGGUCUUCAUACAAACCUAGAUGUUAGGACCUAUGGCUCUGGAGGAUGUGUAUGUGUGGUAGUCUAUUUCCCUGUUCUAAUGCCGUAAUGAACAAAACAACACAAGAUUAAAUCAAGCACCAGAGAAAGUAUUGCAGUCAGGACCUCUGAAGAGUUGUGAAGGGUGUAGCUUAGUGGUCAAGUGUUUGCCUGGCAUGUCCAAGACUCUGGUUCCAUCCAUAGCACUGCAAAAUAAUAAUAAUAAUAAUACAUGAAAUAUAUGAGAUGGUUGCUGUUCUUACAGGGCAUACUGUUUUGUAGUAAACUUAUUAAAAUAGUAUAUACUAAGAUGAUGACUAUACACUGUUAUAAUCAUUAACAAAUGAUGCAUACAACAAUAACAUAGCUGUUUAUUUUCAUUAUUGAGUAUUAUAUACAGUAAGUAAUUGUAUGUGCCAUACUUUUAUAUGACUGGUGAUGGCAGUAGAUUUAUUUGCAGCAGCAUAAACACAUGAGUAAUCUUUUGUAUGUUAAGAUGGCAAAGAUCACUAGGUUAUAUUGUAAUGGAGUUUUUCAGCUCCAUUAUAAUCUAUUGGAGCCAUCAUAGUAUAUGACAUUGAGACCCUGUGUCAAAAAAAAAGGGGGGGGGGCUGGAGAUGUAGCCCAGUGGUAAAAUGCCCCUGGGUUCAAUUCCCAGUACCAAAAAUAUUAACAAAAUGCAUAUUUGAUAUAAGUAGGAAAAAAAAACAGAUUAUUUGAGAAUAGUAUUUUAUUGACAACCUCCCUCAGUUAUAUUUAGAUACAGAGGAAAAUACUCAUUACAAAACCAGGGUUGAGGCUGAUCUGCUUAUUUAGUUGCUGAUGGUCAAGAGUCCUUUAACCUACUAUCUCAUCCCCCCUAACCCAAUACCUUUUUUUUUUUUUUUAAUGGCAGUACUGGGGAUUGAACCCAGAGGCUCUCUACCACUGCACCACAUCCCCACCACUUUUUAUGUUUUUAAAUUUUUUUUUUUUUUCCAGCACCAGGGAGUGAAUCCAGGGACACUGAGCUACAUCCCCAAACUUUUUUUUUUUUUGUACAGGAGAUUGAACUCAGGGGCACUCAACCACUGAGCCACAUCCUCAGCCCUUUUUCAUAUUUUAUUUUGAGACAAGGUCUCACUGAGUUGCGUAGGGGGUCCCUAAGUUGCUAAGGCUGGCUUUGAACUCGCAAUCCUCCUGCUUCAGCUUCCAGAGUCGCUGGAAUUAAAGGCGGGUGCCACCACACCCGGCAUCCCCAACUUUUUGAGACACAGUCUUGCUAAAUUUCCGAGGCAGGUUUAGAACUUGGAAUCCUCCUGCUUCCGUCUCCCCAUUAUCUGGGAUUAUAGAGGUGUGCCAGUGCAUCCAAGUAUCCCCCCUCUUUUAUGUGUAUCACAUGUAUUAAGAUGAUCUCUCUUUUAAUUCAGUUUGAGCUUAGUAUAAUACCCCGUUCCUCAAAAUUUUAUUUGGAGCAAAAACUUAGUCCGUUUUACCUCUGUAAUAAUAGGAAGAAGAAAUUAUAUCAUCGUGUUUUGGGGAUUUUGGUCCCUUUCAGUUUAAACCCAGGGCCUUAUGUAUGCUAGCCAAGCCCUCUACUACUGAGCUAUACCCUUACCUCUAUAUAGUUCUUUUUAAAAUAUAUAUAUAUUUAUUUUCUAGUUGUAGUUGGACACAAUACCUUCAUUUCACUUAUUUAUUUUUAUGUGGUGCUGAGGAUCGAAUCCAGGGUCUCGAAUGUGCGAGGCGAGCGCUCUACUGUUGAGCCACAAACCUAGCCCCUCUAUAUAGUUCUUCUGAUCAUGUUGUUUGUCACCUCUCCACACCCUACCCUCCCAUGGCCCUGGUAAAAGUUAAGACCUAAUAAGUUAAGAGCUAAUAUAGAAAGUGAUUUUGAGUUUCAAGAAAGUAUAAUUCAUGGAGUUUUCCCAAGACUGUUAUCUUAACUGAGUUUUCUUAACUGUUAUCCAGUGUUAAGAAAAGACUAUUAAAAAGUUAUCCCGUUCUCCAAUUAUGUUACGGCGAGACUGAAUUUUCUUAAUAUACUUUAUCCAAACCAGUAUACUGUAGCAGAUUGAAAGCAGAAGCAGAAUAUUCAUAGGUAGACUUUUAAAAGGUCGCAAAAAUGUAAAAGGAGUUCAGUGGUAGAGCACUUGCCUAGUAUGCUCAAGGCCCUGGGUUUGAUUCCCAAAUACUGCAAAAAAGAAAAAAAAAAAGGAUAAAAACAAAAACAGUACCAUUCAUUGUUUUUGUUUUGUUUUUAGAAAAUAUAUUUUCAUAAAAUGUUAUUUAUAUUGACUUGAAGAUGUUUAUUUUCUUAUACUGGUGAUUAAACCCAGGGGUACUUUUCCACUGAGCUACAUUCCGCCACCUUUUUUAGUUUUUGACACAGGGUCUUGCUAAGUUGCUCAGGCUAACUUUGAACCGCCCCCAUCUAUGUUUACAGAUGUAUUCUGCUGUCUCCAGUAGUUUCUCAGUUUUUGAGAGUAUAAUUUUUUAAUAAAAAGUUUUGAGAAUUAUUGAAUGGUGCUUGAUGCCUGUAAAGACAAAGUCAUUAGUUCUAUUUCUGUAUGAGUUACUUAACUUCAUACAGAAAGUUAAACGUGAAAAGUGACAAGGGAGCCCACAGAAUGGGAGAAAAUUUUUGGAAACCAUGCCUGAUAAGGGACUUGUAUCUAAUAUAUAUCUAAAGAACUUUAGUGGGCCGGGGCCGGGGCUGGGGCUCAGUGACAGCACUUGCCUAGCUUGUGUGAGGCACUAGGUUCUAUCCUUAGCACCGCAUACAGAAAUAAAUUUAAAAAGCCAUGUUGUCCAUGUACAGCUUCAAAAAAAAAUCAGUCAUAAAAGAUAACCCAAUUAAAAAAUGGGCUGUGGGACUGAAUAAAGAUUUCUUCCCAAGAUUUGUGCAGACUGCCAAUAAGCAAUAUGAGAGAAUGCUUUUGACCUUUAAAAUUUUUUUUUUGUAGUUGUAGAUGGACAGCAUGCCUUCAUUUUAUGUGGUUUUUAUGAUGCAUUAAGGACAGAAUCCAGUGCCUCACAUUUGCUAGGCAAGCAUUCUGCAACUGAGCUACAGCCCCGCCCAAGAUGCCUGACCUCUUUAGCCAUUAAAGAAAUGUAAAUCAAAACUACAGUUAGAUACCCUUUCAUACCCACUAGUAUGUCUGUAAUCAGAAAGACAGAUAAUGACAAAUGUUGGGGAUGUGGAGAAAUUGGAACUCUCACACACUGCUGGUAUUAAUGUAAAAUGGUUCACAAGAGAACCUGGGCCUUUUUCAAUGCUUUUCACAUUGGAAAGCAGUCUGGUGAUUCCUCAAUGUUAGAGUUACUACAUGACUUUAAUAAAAUACAGGCUAUCCCAUAUAAUAGAAUAUUAUUCAGCAAUAAAAAGAAAAAUAUUUUAUAUAAGCUUAAACACAAAUCUUGAAAACAUGCCAGAAAUCAAAAUCCACAUAUUGUAUGUUUUCCAUUUAUGUGAAAUAAUUGGCAAUUUUCUAGAGAAAAAGUAGAUUGGUGGUAGCUUGGUGCUGGAGGAUUGGAGGGAAAUGGGAGUGGCUGCUAGUAGAUGUAGAUUUCUUUUGGGGGUGAUAAAUUUUUAAAAAAUUUGUAAUGUUGUACAACUUAAUAUAUUCAUAAAGUCAUCACUGAAUUGUUUAUUUCAAAUGGGUAAAUUGUAUAUUAUCAGUCACUGCUUAAUAAAGUCAUUAAAAUGGAAAGUUAAAAGGUUAAAUAUAUACUUACACUAUCUCCCAACAUUUAUUUAUUUAUUUUUAAUAUUUAUUUAUUUAUUUUAGUUUUCGGUGGACACAACAUCUUUGUUUGUAUGUGGUGCUGAGGAUCGAACCCGGGCCACACGCAUGCCAGGCGAGCGCACUACCGCUUGAGCCACAUCCCCAGCCCCCCAACAUUUAAUCAGUUAUAUACAUGUUAUUUUUCACAGAGAAGUUAAAUUAGAAAAUUAAGUAAUUGAUAAUGUACAUGCUUUGAGAAAAACUCUAAAUUUUGUUCUACUCACUUGAUGUGGAGCUUCAUUCUUCUUUAAUAUUCCUUGAAGAGUUAUGUUGGAAUUAUAAAUUAUUCCAAAGACAAAAAAGCUGUAUUUUGAUAGUUUGUUUUGGUAGAAAGAUGGCAUAGAAGCCUGGGACAGCUGCUGGCUGGUGUUUUUUUUUCCCCCUUCUCUUCAGCUGUUCUUUUGGCUGUACUAAACAGUCAUGACUUUAGUCCAUUACAAAUGGGCAUUGGAAAGUUGUCCUAGGUUGUCCUAACUUGUCCUUGUUUGUAAAGUGACUGAUAGGAAUGCUUUUGCAGCAGAGUCAGGAUGUAGUACAAUUUUUUUUUUCUCCCCCUGUACUAAGGUUUGAACGGAGGGCCUCUAGCAUACUAUACAAGUGCUCUGCCACUGAGCUAUGUCCCAGUUCGUUUAUUUAUUUAUCUGUGUGUACUGAGGAUUGAACCCAGGGGUGCUUAACCACUGAGCUACAUUCCAGUCCUUUUUGAGACAGGAUUUCGUUAAAUUGCUUAGGGCCUCAAGUUGCUGAAGGCUGGCUUUGAACUUGUGAUCCUCCUGCCUCAACCUCUCAGACUGCUAGGAUUAUAGUCAUGCACCACCAUGCCUGGCUUAUUUUUAUUUUUGAGAUAGGUUGGCCAGUCUGGGCUCCCACUUGAAAUUUGCCUGCCUCAGUCUUUGAAUAGCUGAGAUUAUAGGCAUGUGCUGCUUUGCCUGGUCAGCUUCAUUCCUCAUGGAGGCCCAAGUUCUGUUGUGGAUUCUAGAAAACUGUUCAGUUUUCCUUUGCCCUGUAGCAAUAUGUCACCAGUCCAGAAGACAGAAAUGCCACAUUCUCAAUCUUGGCUAUUCUACUAGUUUCUAACUGUGGCAAAAGCCUUUUUUUUUCUUCGGGGGGGGGGGGGUUGGUGGAAAUUAAAUGGAGCCACAGGUUACAGUGUAUACUCUUGGUUGUUAGGGUAGCAUCCAUCCAUAACGUAGUCAAUUGAGAAUUAACUAUAUAGAUUGUUUUAUGAAUGUUUGACUAAUCAUUGACCAGAGAAAAUAGAGAUGUAAUGAUACUCCUGAUGAUCCUCUAUGUGCCUGUAUAUUAGAAUAUUAGGGGUCCCAUGAAUUGGGUAGUGGGUAGAGAUAAACUUUUUUUUUUGUACCAGGGAUUGAACCCAAGGGUGCUUAACCACAGAACCACAUCCCCAGCCCUUUAGGUUUUUUUUUUUUUUUUUUCCGGACAGGUUUUAUUAAGUUUCUUAGGGCCUUGCUAAAUUGCUGAGGGUGGCUUUGAACUUGUGAUCAUCCUGCAUCAGCCUCCCAAGCUACUGGAAGUAUAAGUGUGUGCUACUUAUACCAGGGGAAUAAACUUCUUGCUAAUGUCUAAUUAAAAUGGAGCAUUUCCUUCCAUUAUUAAUGUGUACCAGAAACCGGAAUAGUAGUUUUAGCAGCUUUUGUGACAUAAAUAUUUGAAUAUAUGACAUAUUUAAAAGUUUGUUUGCAUUCAUUGCCAUUUUGAUAUUUUAAUAUAUAUUAUUAUGUGUAAAUUUUGUUUCAAAAAACAUUUCUGUAGCUAAUAUCAAGUUGGUUUCCUUUGGAAUUCCUUAGAAUUUGCAGUCCUAGUGGCCCAUGCCUAUAAUCCUAGCUAUUUGGGAGACUGAAGCAGGGGGAUUGCAAAUUCAAAGCUAGUCUCAGAACUUAGACCCUGUCUCAAAAUAAAAAAAGAAAAAGGGCUGGGAAAGCUCAGGGAUAGUUUGUCUGGUACACAUGGGGCCCUGAAUUCAGUUCCCAGUAUUGCAAAAGAAGGGCAGGAAGGAGAGAAUUAUUUUGUGCCACUUAACAUUAUUCUGAGAAAGGGAUCAUAGGCUUUACUAAACUGCAGAAAUCUUUUGUGGCACCAAAAAUGGUUAGUAAUAUAUAACCAUGGUUUUCAAUUAGUCUGGACUAGAACCACCUGGAAAGCUUUUAAAAAAAAAAAAAAACUACAUGAAUUCUUGGAGGCUCUGGUUUAAUUGAUCUAGGGUGGAAUAUGAACAUCUUUUAAAAUCUCCGUCUCCCAGGUGAUUUGAAUGUACUUUUCAGGGUUGCAGAUCACUGACAGAAUGGUUUAUUUCAUACAGAGUCACGUAUACCUCUUGCUGUGAUCAUGCUUGGUCAGAUGUUAAAAUCUAACUUCCAAGUCUUUUAUAAAAUAUAUAUAGGAGGGCUGGGGUUGUAGCUCAGUGGUAGAGUGCUUGGCUAGCAUGUGUGAGGCACAAGGUUCAAUCCUCAGCAUCACAUAAAAAUAAAUAAAUAAAGGUAUUGUGUCCAUCUGCAGCUAAAAAUAUUUUUAUAUAUGUAUAUAAUAUACACACAUGAUACUUUUUUUUCAACUUGGUGGGUUAAUAUUUAGCCAAAUAGGUUUUUAGCUCCAGAAGAAUACCCAAGAACAUUGUAAGGUGAUUUUUGUGUGUGGUGGUUGGUUUGGUUUUGUUAUUUUUGGUAUUGGGGGUUGAAGCCAGGGCACUCUACCACUGAGCUACAUCCCCAGUCCUGUUUUUUAUUUUUUAUUUUUUGUAACAGAGUUUCACUAAUUUGUCCAGGUUGGCCUGAAACUCUUGAUCCUCCUGCUUCAGCCUUAUGGGUAGCUGAGAUUCAGGGAUAUGUCACUGUACCAAGCUGCCCUGAUUUAUUUAUUUAUUUUCCCUUUCUUUCACUGGGAAUAGAAUGUAGGGGUGCUUUACCACUGAGCUAUAUCCUAGCCCUUCUUAUUUUUCUAUUUUGAGACAGGGUCUCACUAAGUUGCUGAGGCUGUCAUUGAACUUGGGGGUCCUUCUGCCUCAGCCUCCUGAGUCACUGGGAUUACAGGCAUGCACCACUAUGCUUGGCUGCUGUGGGAGUUUUAAAAACCUGUCAUUACAGACAUGGUAGUAUGUUGCUGCCUGCCCUGCCUUGCUGUUUGUUUGUUAGCAGGGAUUGAAUUCAGGGGCACUUAACCACUGAGCCACAUCCCCAGUCCCCCCCCCCCCCUUCUUUUAAUCUGUUAUUUUGAGAUAGGGUCUUGCUAAAUUGCUUAGAGACUGGGUAAAUUGCUGAGGCUGCCUUUGAACUUGGGAUCCUCCUGCAUCAGCUUCCCUGGCUGCUGUGAUUAAAGGUGUGCACUACUGUGCUGUGUGCCUUGUUAUUUUUAGUGACUACAAUUUUCUGUAAUUUAUUUAACUGGCCCUUUUGUACAUGGGUAUUUAAAUUAUUUCCAGUUGUGAGCAAUUUUUAGCCUAUGCAUUUGUAUACUAACAUUUUUAUGCACAUAUGCAAUAGGACAAUUUGCUAGAAGUGGAAUUGAGGACCAAAAAUCUUAGUAUUCUUUGCCUAUAGAGUGACUCAUGUUAUCUAGAAUUUUACCUCUCUGAAGCCCUAGAUUUAGUGAAGACUCAGGAGAAAACAAUCUUGAGCUAUUUUCUGUACAUCAGCAACUUAUGAAAACACAUUGAACAGACCCGAACAUAUUGUAUUUUUAUAGAUUUUUAAGAUCCUCAUUUGCAGGUUUAAUGUAAGUCUUGAAUUAAGCAGUUUAACCCAGCAAUAGCUUAGUUUCCAAAGGCUUUUUCAACCCCUUGUUUUCUCUUUAGUAUCUAGUGAGUUUGAGAAAUAACCAUCAGAUAUCCAGAUUUUGAGAAAAGAUACCAGCUGAACACGGGGCCAAAACCUCAAUUUAGAGAAGGUGGGAAAAAAAGCACACAGAUCAAAAAUUGAAUUGUGGGUGAUCCGUAAGUUCAAAAAGGCAGAAGAAAUCAUUGGCAAAAAUGAAGACAGUUGGUUAUGUUACCCAAAGCGCAGUCCUUGUCACCAGUGCCAGUCCUGUAAUAAGGACACAGUUUUGAGAAAAAGGAAAAAGAAGUGUUAUUGCUUUGCUAAAAAAGGAGAAAUAACAGCAGACUCCUGUCCCAGAGGCUGAUUCUCCUGUUGAACAGUUUUGGUUUUGGUUUUGGUGCUGAAUCGGGGUGGGGUGAGGGGCAUGACACCAUCAUAUCUAAUUUUGAUCAGUAUUACUACUUGCCCUCUGUCAACUUAAGAAUGUCUCUUUAAACUGGGUACAGUGGGGCACACCUGUAACCCCAGCAACUCAGCAAUUUAGCAAGGCCCUAAGCACCUUAGUGAAAUGCUCUCUCAACAUAAAAAGGGCUGGGGAUGUUGCUUAGUGAUAAAACACCUUUGGGUUCUUUCUUCAUACUUUUGCCAGUGCAGUGUUAAUUUUAAGAUGUUUGAUCUCUGUUAUAAGAAUUUCAUUUGCAUUUUUUUGAAUGUUUAAAAAUUUAAUUAUAGCCCUUGUGGUGAUACAUGUCUGUAAUCACAACUACUUAGGAAACUGACCCAGAAGGAUCAAAAGUUCCAGGACACUUAGGGAGAUCUUGUCUCAAAAUGAGAAAAGGUCUGGGUAUAUAACUCACUGGGAGGGCAACUCUGGGUUCUAUCCCUAGUACCAAAAACAAAAAAAGUUGAUUUUAAUGUGUUUAUUCUUUGUACUGUUCAUCUGCGUUGCCCCUGCCCUAGAAGUGCUGGGCAUUGAACCUAUGGUCUUAUGCAUGCUAGUCAAGCACUCUUAGAGAUAUGCCUCUAGCCUCCUUCAUCCAUUUUCUGUUUGAGUCACUGGUCUCUUUCAUUGCAAACUGGACUUUACACCAAUAAAUUUAGUGCUUUGUCACAUGGGUCGGAGAUACUAAGUUUGUAUUUUGAUCUUGAUAAUUUGCUCAUACAUAGAUACCUAGCAUUACUACUGAGUGAUAUCCCCAAACCCUUGUUGGUCUAUGUUUAAAUUUUUGAUAUAUCUUACUUUGGUAGAAAAGGUAAAUAGAAACUUGACUUUGUUUUGAUAAAGUAGACAUAAUUAUUCUAACAGUAGAUUAUAUUUAUUGAAUAAUUCACCAUUCUGAUAUGAAAUGCCACCUUUAUGACUUGCUGAUUUUACAUAUAUUGCUUCUUUUUGAACCAUAUUGUCCAUUGAUUGGCUUGUUACCAACCCAUAGUUUUAUUUUUUAGGUACUGGUGAUUGAACCCAGGGGCACUUUACCACUGAGCUAUAUCUCCAGCUUUUUUAUUUUGAGACAGGGUCUCCUUAAGUCCUUAGGUCCUUGCUAAAUUUUGAAGUUGGUCAUGAACUUGCAAUCCUCUUGCCUUUAUCUUCUGAGUUGCUAGCAUGCACUUCUGCACCCGGCAAAACAACAUAAUUUUAGUUUAAAUUGCAGUAGUCUUUUAGAAUGUUUUUCAUUCUUUUUUUUUUUAAGAGAGAGAGAGAGAAUUUUCUUUAGUAUUUAUCUUUUAGUUUUUGGUGGACACAACAUCUUUAUUUUUAUGUGGUGCUGAGGAUCGAACCCAGCGCCCUGCGCAUGCCAGGCGAGCGCGUUACUGCUUGAGCCACAUCCCCAGCCCCAAGAAUGUUUUUCAUUCUAAAUAAAUUAAUUCUUGCCAGUGGUGCAGUUUAUUUCAAAGGAGCUUAUUUCUUCUAGGUAAUCUGUUUCUCUGAACAAAUUGUUACAUGAAAUAAUUCUUUAAGAAAGGAAAAGAAAAACGGUGAUGGCAAUGCUUUCUUUUUUUAAUCCUCAAAUAUUAUUAAUGUAUAUUCCAUACUGUGGGUUCAAGAAGUCCUGGAAAAAAACAAUUUUUAUCUGGCUUAUUUGAGCAUUACUUUCUUUUUGGUGGUACACAGAAGUAUUCAGAACAAAGAAGUUUUUUAUGCCUCAGGUGGUAGCUACUAUCUUAGGGUUUCUGUUUUUUGUUUUUGUUUUUUGUCCUUUUUUACAGUAUUAGGAAUUGAAUCCAGGGCUUCCCUUAUACAUGCUAUGCAAGGGCUGUACCCAUUGAACUACAUUCCCACCCCCAAAAUUAAAUCUCUGUAAAAAUAAAACCACCUUCAGCUGGGUGUGUGGAUGUAUGCUUAUAAUACCAGGUACUCAGGAGCCUGAGGAGGAAGGGUUGCAAGUUCCAGGUCAGGGCUGGGCAACUUGGUGUAACUCUGUCUGAAAAUAAAAAGCUCCGUGUGUUGUUCAGUGGCGCAGUGCUCCAGGGUUCAGUUACCAGUACUGCAAAACAACAAAAGCCAUCUUAUUAAAGAAUUUGGAUAAUACUAGAAGGGGAGAAAAUUUACCUUUAUUUCCACUACUUAUUACCCAGACAUGACUGUGCUUAAUAUUUUAGCAUGUCUUUUAAAUCCCUUUCAUUGCAGAUUUCUUCAUAGUUUUCUUUAUGCUUUAUAUAUGUGAAUCAUUUCUUUCAUCAAAAUAGAAUUUCUGUGUCAUGUCAUGCUCACAUUUUGUGGCUCAGAAUGAAUAUUCUAACUGCAGUAUUUCUCAUAUUUGGUCCAGGGACCCCCCCAGGGGCUUCUAAGAUUUUCAGAAGAUAUGUGAGUGUAAAUCAUUUCAUAAGAAACAUAAGAUCCAGCUAAGUGCCUUGUUGCAUGCCUGUAUUCCCAGGGGCUCCUGAGGCAGGAGGAUCCAAGUUUAAAGCCAGCCUUGGCAACUUUUGAUUUUUGUCUCAAAAUAAAAAUGGUAGGGAAUGUGGCUCAGAGGUUGAGCACCCUGGAUUCAAUCCUUGGUACCAAAAAAAGAAAAGAAUCUAAGACACAUACCAGUAAUUCAAUUUACUUGAGAGGUUGAGGCAGGAAGAUCUGUUGAGCCCAGAAGUUCUAGACCUGCCUGGACAAUAUAGAAAGACCCCCAUCUCAAACAAAAAAGGACAUCUAAGACAUUCUCUUAAUGAGUGUACAGUGGAAGUUUUCAGCAUCUAUGUAACAUGGUAUGACAGCAGAUUGAAUGCAGAAGCAGAUGAGAAAAAUUCAACUGCCUUUUAAAAAAAAAGUUUUCAAAGGGCUGAGGAUUUAGCUCAGAUUGGUAGAGUUCUUGCCUCGCACGCACAAGGCCCUGGAUUCAAUCCCCAGCACCAUACAUGCACACAAGAGUCAGAGAAUAUUUGCAAAUAUGGAAAACAAAGCUAUUUUUCUCCCCUCUUUUUGUACUGGGGAUUGAACCCAAGGGUGCUUUACCACUGAGCUACCAUCCCUAGCCCCCUUUCUUUCUUUUUAUUUAUUUAUUUUACUUAUUUUUAGAUAGGGUCUUACUGAGUUGCUUAGUGCCUUGCUAGGUUGCCGAGUCUGGCUUGGAACUUUUGACCCACCUGCUUUAGCCUUCCAAGUCACUGGGAUUAUAGGCAUGUUCCACCAUGCCUGGCUUCUGACUGAAUUUAAGAGUAUAGGGGUCCUACAACCAUAAAGUUUGAGACUGAUGAUAUGCUAUUUUACAUAAAAUGAUGUUAAAGGUAAAAUAUCAUAAUAAAAUAAAAAAUAGUGAUCACUUGAUUUCAUUCUUUUUAUGCAUGUGACUUCUGAUUAUGUAUACAGUACACAUGGAUUUUUUUUAAUAUAAAAUGCAGUUCUCUUUUAUAAGAGGACAUUUUAAUGCUUUGUGACAUUGCUUCUAGAGACUGGCAUGUUCUGUGUUCUUGAAUUAAGUUGGGCAUGAGAUUUUUAUAAACAAUAACUUUAGUUUAUUAUUUAUUUAUUUUUUCCUCAGGCAGCUGAGUAUGUCCCAGAGAAGGUGAAGAAAGCGGAAAAGAAAUUAGAAGAGAAUCCAUAUGACCUUGAUGCUUGGAGCAUUCUCAUUCGAGAGGCACAGGUUUAGUGAUAUAGGAUUACAUUUCCUUCUCUAUGGGUCCAAUCACACUACUUGGUUCUGCAGUAAAUAAUAUUUUCAUAAUCCUAACAUUGUAAAUGCUGUUUAUUGGUUUUCAAUUUUAGAAUCAACCUAUAGACAAAGCACGGAAGACUUAUGAACGCCUUGUUGCCCAGUUCCCAAGUUCUGGCAGAUUCUGGAAACUGUACAUUGAAGCAGAGGUUAAUAUUUUAUUUUAUUUUUUCAUAUAUAGCAUCUGAUGGGAAUUGCAGCAUACACAGUAGAGAUAGGAAACAAGUUAGGAACAUAGCACAAAUAGGACAAGGAGGAUUUAAAUGUCUCGUGCCUUUAUUUUGUAAAAUAGGUAUGAAGGAAUAAUUAAAAUGAAUUUUUGAAAUUUGGGUCUUUGACAAGCUGAUGAUUGUUGCAUUUUGGAGUUGCAACAACAUUAAAACAGUUUCAAUGGUAUUGGAGUGCUUUAGCCUUUUAUUUACUUGUCAUGUGUCAAUUUAUUGCCUCCUGUGUCAUUUAUUUAGAACUCAUUUUUCUUUUUAUUUCUACUUACAAACUAAUAUGAAUGUGGGAUUAUAUGAAUAUACAGAAAUGUUAACUUAGUUUCAUAGUCUUUUGAGUGUCUGGUGAAAUGAAACAAACAUAAGAGAAGAAUGAUAUCAAGUUUUAAUUUUGUGAAAAUGCAUGGUUUGUCUUUGUAAGCACUCAUUUUUAAGAUGAAGUUUACAUUAUGCAGGUAUAAGCUAAUGUAACUCAAAUUUUUUAAUCAUAAUUUUCCUGAUGAUACUUUGAUUUUUGUGUUUUUUUUUGUUUUUUUUUUUUUUAAAUAAUCUGUCUUGAAAUUUGAAGCCAGGAAUGUUUACUUUAAAGAAUAAGGAUCCCAUUCUUAAAGUGUUAAUGUGUCUAUCAGCACCAAGAAAUCAUUUUCAGGUUAUAAAUUAAUAGGAUGGAAUGGUGAAAUGCGAAUAAUUGAUAUCCACAUUUAGCUGAAAAUGAUAACCAUUUCUUUUUAUAACUCCUUUAUAAGACUUUAAGCAGUACUUUUAUUUUUAAUGUUAACUUUGUAAUAUAAAUUCUCAAUGUAGUUAAGUACACUGCAGCCUCAACAUUUUUCACUGUAGCUGAAAUUUUAUAUUAUGUGGGUCUGUUUAGACCUUGUUAAAGGACCUCAGCCAUCAGCAGUAUUGAACAGAGUUCAGCACAACACAGUGUCACCUGUGAUGUGUCCUCAAAAUGGACCCAACCAACAGUAGAGCUAAUAGAGGCUACAGUGUACUCAUUAAAUUUGUGCUAUAAUUUAGAUUGUAUUACUUUGUGGGAGGGAAGUUACUGGACCAUAGCAAGAACAUCAUGUGUGUUUUAUUUUUGUGUGUGAGGUUGUGUAUAUGGUCUGUGUGUUUGUAUGUGUGAAUGCGAUUGUGCCUUAUGUGGAGUCUGGUAGUUUUGAUCCAUAUGCUUAAAUUUUCAUCCCUAUUCUCUGGACCAUUUCUUUCCUUCUAUAUUUUAAUCGACAGAGUAGGCAGGCAUGAAACUCAACUGGUAAGGCCUGAGUGUGAAGCCAGUGCUGCUUUGUAUUAAAGCAAGGAUCCUGGAUCACCUGCACCUGGUCUACAUUCUAGUCUGACUUUACAGACACAUUAGCUUAUAUUUAAACUUAUCAGAAAUGAACAUAAUAUAUAAUCUUUUUUGUGUUUUAAAGUAAUAAUUUGAGUCUUCUCCAGCAUUUAGACAUUAUCAAUGCAUUUUAUUAUAGCAUAAGCUAAAUUGAAAUUGGCAGAUACUACUGCAUUCUGUAAUUAUGAAUACCAUGAGUUUGCUUCUUCCAUUUUCUAACUGAUAUAAAAACUGCAUUCUUAAAAAAAAAAUCUGAAAAAGAACAUAUGUUAUUCCCGGGGGCUGAAAUUUGUCUAAAUAAUAGGCUCAUUUUGUGUAUUUCACAGCUACUUGCAGUUGCCUGAUUUAUUGGUAAUGUUUGCAGUUAUUUCACAUUCAUAUACACAAGUACACAAAUAUGUAUGUAUAAACACGCAAUAUGUAUGUUGUAUAUAAAUCAUCUAUUGAGAAAAGUGGUACCAAAUAUGUAUAUUUAAAUUUUUACACUUCAGAUUUAGGAAUUCAGUUGUUACAUUGAACACUGGUUUCAGAAAUGCAUACCCAAGCUGUGUUUUUGUCUUUACUGAUUUGCUCUCUAUUUUUAUUUUCACAUUGUGGGUUUUUUUUGGGGGGGGGGUGGCUGUGGAAGGCUAAAAUUUUGUUUGGUCACAUUAUUCAAUGUGACCUUUAUAUCUGGAGAGGACAUAUAACCUGUUUAUAAUACUUUUAAAAUAUCUGAGUUAAUAAUAAGAAUGUUUUUACAUUGAAAGUAAUACUAACAGUGUUUACAUAACAUCCUGUAUGCACUCUCAAGAAAAUAAAGUUGUGUUAAUACAUUGUUGUAACUUGGUAAUUCAUGGUGGGGAAAUUGUGACGUUUCAUUUAUUUAUAUUAAGCCGAACUCAUGUACAAUUCUAAAUAUAUUAGUAUUUUCUAGUAAAAAAUAUAUACAUCUUUAAGAAAAGUAAAUUUCUUCCCUGGAGAAAUUAUUUGAACAUGCUGCUCAAGUUCUGAGGGGCAGAAAAAAAAAAUUUAUUUUUGAAAUUGAAACACAUUGAAAAUCAGAGCAUAUUAUAGUUAUUUAAAAUGAAGUUAAAUGAUACUAAUAUUAGCUUUUCUCACAUUAGUGAGAGUUUAGUAUUACCUGCCUUUAUAAAAUUGGGGUUUUAAGAUGUUAUCUUUAACUUAUUACCCACUUUUAUUUUUUUGCUACAAUAUAGAAACCGAUGGAGGUAAAGUUGCUUUCUAGCAAAUGGGCAUUUAGGGUCAUGUUCUUUGUAACAUACUACAUAAGUUUGAACAUUAGUCCAAGUUACUUUUUAGUGUUGUAUAAUAUUUGGGAAAUGAUACUUGUCUCUUUUCCUUGAAAUGCUUUCUUUACACUGCAUUCCAAACCUCAUCUUCACAUGCUUUAACAAAAUAAUAAGAGCAAAUUAUUUUAGGAGUAUUCACAAAGAGAUAAAUUAUCAGUAGUCUAAAUCUAUCUGCUGUGAUAUAAAACUGCUGCUUCCUAGUUUUAUGAAAGGAAACAUUUAAAAUAUCUAAUUUUAAUUGUAUACAAAUGACUUAAAUUCAGUUUUAUUUUUGUUUUAAGAAAUACAAAAUUAUUUUAACACUUGUAUUCUUCUCCUAAUCAGUCUCAGUGCUCUUUAUAGAAUCACUUUUUACAGUGAUCAAAAGGGUCACUCAGCACAAAAUUGCAAAAAGCUGUACAAUUUCACCAUAUUCCUUUAAGCCUCCCUUUCUCCUAUGGUUUCUGUAGUUUUUCGUGUAAUUGGGUGAUCGAUAUGACAACAUAUAAGCUACAAUAUUGUUAGAAGUAAUUUGUUUUGAAUUGAGCCACAUUGAUAAGAAAUAUUCCAACAGAAGGAUGUUUUUCUUGGUAGCUGAAGGAGAAAUGAAGAAGGUAAUGCUGCUGAUAAUAGCAACAAUGUAACCUGAUGUCUGUGAAAGUUGUAAUUCUUUAAUAAAAAUAUAUAGAGAAUUGAUUGCUUUUUAUUUUAAAAACUUCAAAAUAUGAAUUCUUCACUUGGUUUUUCUUUCCUUAUAAAUACUAGGUUGUGAACUAUAAAUUUCAGUUUUUCAAAAUAACCUUUCUUCUUGGAAAAUGGAGGUGAACUCAGGAUGGAUCAUGAGUGACCUAAAUUGAAAUAAAACUUUUCUGCUGUUGACACUGUUUAAUACUUUUACAUAGCAAUUUAAAUUACUGUAUUAUAAUGUUUUGUAUAUAUUUAAGAAUGAAUGUGAUUUUUAAAUGCAGGUAAAAAUAUUAUAUAGAUCAUGGUGAUUUAUUUUUUUAUACUUCAGUUUGCUGCCCUUCAAAAAAAAAUCUGUACUCUUAUAGAUCCAAACUUUUCCUGUUUGUAAUAAAUGUUGGUCCAUGUCUGUGUGAUUAUUCAGAUUUUACUCUAAAAUUCAAUAUGCUUUUUUUCUCCACAGUUUUUUAAAUGCAUAAAUAAAUGUAGAAUAGAAAUGUAAAACAACAGAAAGUACUUGCAAACACAACUGAGUGAUCAAAUAUCUGAAAGUUCUUUGAAAAACUAAAGUACUAUUUGAUAAGUAAAAGAAGUAUUUGUGUGUUCAUCAUUGCAAACAGUAAACUGUUUUAGGUUUUAUUAAAAUGUCUAAUUCCAUCCUUUUUCCCUGUCCAUAUCAUAG
rnacentral:lncRNA from 1 species